GGCGAGUGGCGAACGGGUGAGUAAUGCAUCGGAACGUGCCCAGUCGUGGGGGAUAACGCAGCGAAAGCUGUGCUAAUACCGCAUACGAUCUAUGGAUGAAAGCGGGGGACCUUCGGGCCUCGCGCGAUUGGAGCGGCCGAUGUUAGAUUAGGUAGUUGGUGAGGUAAAGGCUCACCAAGCCUACGAUCUAUAGCUGGUCUGAGAGGACGACCAGCCACACUGGAACUGAGACACGGUCCAGACUCCUACGGGAGGCAGCAGUGGGGAAUUUUGGACAAUGGGCGAAAGCCUGAUCCAGCAAUACCGCGUGCAGGAAGAAGGCCUUCGGGUUGUAAACUGCUUUUGUACGGAACGAAACGGUCUGGAUUAAUACUCUGGGCUAAUGACGGUACCGUAAGAAUAAGCACCGGCUAACUACGUGCCAGCAGCCGCGGUAAUACGUAGGGUGCAAGCGUUAAUCGGAAUUACUGGGCGUAAAGCGUGCGCAGGCGGUUUUGUAAGACAGGCGUGAAAUCCCCGGGCUCAACCUGGGAAUUGCGCUUGUGACUGCAAGGCUAGAGUACGGUAGAGGGGGGUAGAAUUCCGCGUGUAGCAGUGAAAUGCGUAGAUAUGCGGAGGAACACCGAUGGCGAAGGCAGCCCUCUGGACCUGUACUGACGCUCAUGGCACGAAAGCGUGGGGAGCAAACAGGAUUAGAUACCCUGGUAGUCCACGCCCUAAACGAUGUCAACUGG
rnacentral:rRNA from 1 species